UACGGGGGGGGCAAGCGUUGUUCGGAAUUACUGGGCGUAAAGGGUGCGUAGGCGGCUUUCUAAGUUGGAUGUGAAAACUAUGGGCUCAACCCAUAGCCUGCAUCCAAAACUGGAGAGCUUGAGUUCUGGAGGGGAAAGCGGAAUUCCUGGUGUAGCGGUGAAAUGCGUAGAUAUCAGGAGGAACACCGGUGGCGAAGGCGGCUUUCUGGACAGACACCGACGCUGAGGCACGAAAGCUAGGGGAGCAAACAGG
rnacentral:rRNA from 1 species